GACGAACGCUGGCGGCGUGCCUAAUACAUGCAAGUAGAACGCACAGUUUAUACCGUAGCUUGCUACACCAUAGACUGUGAGUUGCGAACGGGUGAGUAACGCGUAGGUAACCUGCCUGGUAGCGGGGGAUAACUAUUGGAAACGAUAGCUAAUACCGCAUAAUAUUGAUUAUUGCAUGAUAAUUGAUUGAAAGAUGCUAUUGCAUCACUACCAGAUGGACCUGCGUUGUAUUAGCUAGUAGGUGAGGUAACGGCUCACCUAGGCGACGAUACAUAGCCGACCUGAGAGGGUGAUCGGCCACACUGGGACUGAGACACGGCCCAGACUCCUACGGGAGGCAGCUGUAGGGAAUCUUCGGCAAUGGACGAAAGUCUGACCGAGCAACGCCGCGUGAGUGAAGAAGGUUUUCGGAUCGUAAAGCUCGGUUGUAAGAGAAGAACGGGUGUGAGAGUGGAAAGUUCACACUGUGACGGUAUCUUACCAGAAAGGGACGGCUAACUACGUG
rnacentral:rRNA from 1 species